ACAAUAAAGUAGCCUAAACCAUGAUUAAUAAUACGAAGUAGCAGAUAAUAUCAAUAAAAUGCAGAAGUACAACCCAAUACAGCUCUAACCGGGGUGUCACAAGUCACGAGUAUCUAACAACACUAAGUCCUCAAAUGUAACUACAAAGUUUAAAUACUAAACUAAGGACAUAAAGGAAAGAGAUAGGGAGGAGCUCUAGGCUGCGGACGCCAACAGCUACCUAAAGACUCCUCGAAGAUCAUCCUGAAGCUGGAAUGAAUCAGCACUCGCGAGCGGGACCAGCUAUGCCUGAAUCUACACACGGGGUGCAGGGAGUAAAGUGAGUACUCCAACUCAAUGUGUAACAAAUGUAAAUAAUGACUGAAAGUAAGAAAACAUGUAAGGCACAAGGCAUUCUUAAUGAAGCAGUAAAACCAUUUAAAAGUAGUAAAACAGUGAAAAGUCAAGUAAAAUCCUCUUUCAACAAGUAAACAAGUAAUUAACAGGUACUUAAGGUAAAGUAAAUAAAUAGAAGUUCGCCCCUCGGGCACAAUAUCACCACAUCCGCCCCUCAGGCAACAUCUCAGAACAAUAACAACCCCUCAGUCUCAAUCUCACAUCACAAUGGGUACCCGCGCUCAUUGGGGGUGUGCAGGCUCAUGGAGGGGCCCCUUACGGACCAAGCGCAAUAACAAGCCAUCUCGUGGCAUCAAAUCUAGGCCCUCGGCCUCAUAUCAAUCAAUCCACUCAUGGCUUAUAUAUCCGAGGGCCUCAAAUCAGUAUCAGUGUUUCCUCACAACUAGGCCCUCAGCCUUACUCAGUCAAAAAUACUCACAAGCCCCUUGGGCAAUAGUAAAACAGUAUUUCUCAGCCCAAACAUCAUUUAAAAUAUCAUUGAAGUCUUAAAACUGAGUAAACAUGGCUGAGUAGUAAAAUGGUGGAAAAUAACAUGACUGCGUUCAAGUAAUGAAUCAAAACAGUGAGGAAUUUGUAAUAAAAAUCCCCGAAGGGUUCAAAUAGUUGGCACGAAGCCCAAAUAUGGCAUUUAGCCCAAAUCAUGAUGAUAGAAAAUAAGAUUCAGUCAAACACGCAGUUUAUCAUCAACCGGGACAGACCAAGUCACAAUUCCCAAUAGUACACGACCCCACGCUCGUCAUCAAGCGUGUGUUUCACCUCAAUAUAGCACUACGAUGUGCAAUCCGGGGUUUCAAACCCUUAGGACAUCAUUUACAAUCAUUACUCACCUCGAACCGGCUAAAUAUCUAGCUCGCGACGCCUUUGCCCCUAGAAUCGGCCUCCACACGCAUCAAAUCUAUCAAAAAUCAGAACGAGGACGUCAAAAUAUGCUAAGGGAACAAAGCCCAAGCAAAAACAGUCAAUAAAGAGCACAAAUCCUGAAAUUACCAAAACCUGAC
rnacentral:lncRNA from 1 species